UACGUAGGGUGCAAGCGUUGUCCGGAAUUAUUGGGCGUAAAGAGCUCGUAGGCGGUUUGUUGCGUCGGCUGUGAAAUCCCGAGGCUCAACCUCGGGUCUGCAGUCGAUACGAGCAAACUAGAGUGUUGCAGGGGGAGACUGGAAUUCCUGGUGUAGCGGUGAAAUGCGCAGAUAUCAGGAGGAACACCGGUGGGCGAAGGCGGGGUCUCUGGGCAACAACUGACGCUGAGGAGCGAAAGCGUGGGGAGCGAACAGG
rnacentral:rRNA from 1 species